rnacentral:rRNA from 1 species
AACGAACGCUGGCGGCGUGCUUAACACAUGCAAGUCGAACGCGAAAGGGAUCUUCGGAUCCCCGGUAGAGUGGCGCACAGGUGAGUAACGCGUAAGUAAUCUACCCUGGGGUCUGGAAUAAUCAGCCUAAAGGCUGACUAAUACGGGUUCCAUGUUUGCCUGUUGGGGCAAACAGGACAGGUGGCGUCUAUUUAUAAGAUAUCGGACUGGGGUGAGUUUGCGGACCAUUAGCUAGUUGGUGGGGUAAUGGCCUACCAAGGCGACGAUGGUUAGAGGGUGUGAGAGGAUGAUCCGCCACACUGGGACUGGAACACGGGCCAGACUCCUACGGGAGGCAGCAGUGAGGAAGAUUGCGCAAUGGGGGCAACCCUGACGCAGCGACGCCGCGUGAGUGAGGAAGGCCUUCGGGUCGUAAAGCUCUGUCAGCAGGGAAGAAGUGCAUAGUGGCUAAUAUCCAUUGUGUUUGACGGUACCUGCAAAGGAAGCACCGGCUAACUCCGUGCCAGCCGCCGCGGUAACAC